rnacentral:rRNA from 1 species
UGCCAGUAGUCAUAUGCUUGUCUCAAAGAUUAAGCCAUGCAUGUCUCAGUACAAGCCAAAUUAAGGUGAAACCGCGAAAGGCUCAUUAUAUCAGUUAUGGUUCCUUAGAUCGUACCCACAUUUACUUGGAUAACUGUGGUAAUUCUAGAGCUAAUACAUGCAAACAGAGUUCCGACCAGAGAUGGAAGGAAUGCUUUUAUUAGAUCAAAACCAAUCGAUGUAAAUUUUCAAUUUGCAUCGUUUCGAAUUUGGUGACUCUGAAUAACUUUAAGCUGAUCGCACGGUCAGCGUACCGGCGACGCAUCUUUCAAAUGUCUGCCUUAUCAACUGUCGAUGGUAGGUUCUGCGCCUACCAUGGUUGUAACGGGUAACGGGGAAUCAGGGUUCGAUUCCGGAGAGGGAGCCUGAGAAACGGCUACCACAUCCAAGGAAGGCAGCAGGCGCGCAAAUUACCCACUCCCGGCACGGGGAGGUAGUGACGAAAAAUAACGAUACGGGACUCAUCCGAGGCCCCGUAAUCGGAAUGAGUACACUUUAAAUCCUUUAACGAGGAUCCAUUGGAGGACAAGUCUGGU